rnacentral:rRNA from 1 species
UCAACAAAGAGAAGCAAUACCGUGAGGUGGAGCAAAACUCAAAAAAUGAUCUCAGUUCGGACUGUAGGCUGCAACUCGCCUACACGAAGUUGGAAUUGCUAGUAAUCGUGGAUCAGCAUGCCACGGUGAAUACGUUCCCGGGCCUUGUACACACCGCCCGUCACACCAUGGGAGUUUGUAACGCCCAAAGUCGGUGGCCUAACCUUUAUGGAGGGAGCCGCCUAAGGCGGGACAGAUGACUGGGGUGAAGUCGUAACAAGGUAAC